rnacentral:rRNA from 1 species
UGCCAGCCGCCGCGGUAAUACGGAGGGUGCAAGCGUUAUCCGGAAUCACUGGGUUUAAAGGGUGCGUAGGCGGCGCCAUAAGUCAGAUGUGAAAUCUUCCCGCUUAACGGGAAAACUGCAUUUGAUACUGUGGUGCUUGAAUCAGGCUGAGGUCAGCGGAAUGUGUCAUGUAGCGGUGAAAUGCAUAGAUAUGACAUAGAACACCAAUUGCGAAGGCAGCUGGCUAGACCUGUAUUGACGCUGAGGCACGAAAGCGUGGGGAGCGAACAGGAUUAGAUA